AUUAUUAUAUCACUGUAUCAGUGAAAGAACCCCAAAUCCGCUAAACGCCAAAACCCACGUUUCUUCGACCACUGUUAAACCCCUCUGCAUGCCCAAAAUUCAUCUAUAAUUUUUGAUUUGCAUGCCCAAAAAUUCAUCUAUAAUUCUAGAAUCAAAUGAAUGAAAAAAUGGAGGAGGUGGGUCCAACGGAGGAAGUGGUUCAGGCAUUGCUGGAAUGCAUGGUGGAACCAUUAUUAGGGCGCAAUUCUUUCAAAUCAAAGGAAGUUCCAACACUUGAUCAACAACGUUCCAUGGCAAAACAGGUGGAAGCUGUUGUGUUGCUCUACAAUUACUACUAUAGGAAGCAACAUCAAGAUCAUAAAAUAGAGUUUCUUAAUUUUACAUCGUUUUGCCAAUUGGCUGUAGUUUUGAAACCAAGUUUGAUCACAUAUAUGGAAUUAAUGCGUCGACCAGAUUACACAGACGUGGACGAUUUGGAAAGCCAAAUCUCACUCACUGAGAGGGCCAUUAUGAGGGCAUGUGAUAUAUCUUCGGCGCUAGAUGCUGCACAAGCUGAUCCACUAUCAGGGACAUGGCCUACUUCCAAAGUUGUUGUAUUCUUAGUUGACUCAAGGAGGGAGAAUUGCUUGCUCAUGCGUAGUUCUAUGACCUAUGCUGUUUGGUCCAUUAUUGAAAAACAUCUUGACGUCUCCUCAGGUUCUCUUUUUAAUUCAAAGUGUAUAAACAAAAAGAAAAGGUCUACUAAUAUACCUUCAACCAGUUCUCAGUAUGCUGAUGGAGCAAGGCUCGAAGAGCUUGCGCUUUCUGCUGCCGCAGAAGCAACAGGCAUCAAUAGAAAUGAUCUGGUUGUCCUGGAGAGCCACCUUGUAUAUUCCUUAGAUAAAGAAAAAGCAACAGCUCGAUUAUAUCUUGUACAAUUCACUAAGUCUGUCCAUGAAGAUUUUAUGGUUCCUAUUGGAGACGUCAUUGAAAGUAGCUUGCAGGGUCCUCUAAUCAAGAAAAUCCUAAGUGGAUGGGUGGUUUCUCCAGCUGUUGAGUAUUUUCACUUGCUGCCCUACAGAGAUAUUUUGUCGAAUUGGUAUUCUAGGGAGCUGUUACCAAAUGGCCUGCAAGAUCUAACUGUAGAACUGGUAGCUGGUCAUGCAUAUGAUGUACAUAUUAGAGGUAGCUCCAGUGAGAAAGAAGUAAACGAGGAGAACGUGGUUCGACUCAUGAUUAAGUCGUGCAAUACUGAUUGUGAUGAUGAAAAGAUUAUUGAAGCGAAAAGAAGAGGCAUGCAGGGACUCUCUGCAGUAAGCUCGUCUCAGUUGGAUUCUCAACAUUCUGAGGAUGUAGUAACCACUUUGGCUUCAAAGGAAUCUGCAAUAUCACGAUCUGCCUUGACUGUUCUUUUCUGGAAAAGAGAGAAACUGAGUUCUCAGCUACGCACUUUGGAAGAUGAGAUUGCAUUGUGUGAUAAAACUAUUCGGACAGUAUUAAAUGGGAGUCUUUUUUGGUUACCUUUAAGGCAUUGCAUAGAUAAUGUGCGACUAUUAGAGUGAAUACAAACUGCCGACUGGAGGUUCCAAGUAUCAUCAUUUUUUUUGUGCUCUCAUAUAUAUUCUUGGAUUGCUAUCUAUCUUGCUAUUAACAACUUGCAAAACUAAGGCAUAAAAACUUCCCUUCUCGUGUUUCUUUUCCUCUUUGUUGUUCUUCAAGGAUCAUGUUCCUUAGAAAUUGGUAAGAAUUUUUUUUUCUUGUUUUACUUCCAUGAGUCAGAUAGAUUGCAGUAGAGUAAAAUAAAAAAAAAUUGUAUAACUUUGAUGCUAAAACAAUUACCUGACUGAUAACAUCAUAUGUGAAACUGGAGUGUGACAAUGGUUUAUGCCAGUCAAUUUGGUGUCAGAGAAAGUAAUUUCCUUUACUUCUCUGUGGUUCAACAGUGCAGUAUCUUUGGGGUUAUGGCUCUGGUAGACCUGCAGCACAAUUUGGGAGCACCACUAAAAUGGAAUCUUGUCAAACAAUUUCAUUGCCUGGUUACAUUGUUUAGUUUUGUUCUUGUAUAAAGGGCAUUUCAUCUUCACCAAUGUAUUUCUCUCCUUGUUAAGCAAAUUGCUUUUUCUCUCUAAAAAGAGUCGCAUCUGAUGAAAUGAUAUAGUCAGACUUAACCAAGAAAAAGGAAGCUUCACCAUUUUAUAGGAAAUUACUGUAAUUAAGCUAAUGUCACCCAUUCUUGGUCUGUUCGUCAUCUUUAAACCAGCAAAAGUUCCACUAGCUGCCUUUAAUGAGCUGAAACAGUGGGCAAUAUCAUCCUUCAUGGAGAGUUGUUGCCUAAUAUUUUAAUAAAUCUGAAAUCCACCUUGUAAGCUCCUUGAUGAGUUGGAUGAACAGGUGUACACGUGUAGUUUUAUACUUCUGAAGAAUCUCUUAUAUAGCUUAUCAAAAAACCAAAAAAAAAGAGAAAAAAGUUUGUGUAUCUUUAGAGAGGAUUCUCACUUGAUAGUGCAUGCCUUACUAAAAAUUCAUCGGCUUUGUAAGAGAAGGAAGAGACGUUAUAUGGACAAGAAACAAGCAUAAAAAGCGAGAUGAACAAUAAUGCAAAUGGUACGGAAAAUGUUGAAACUUGUAGGAUGUGAAAAAGUUUGUCAAUGGAUGAGCCUGCAAACGUCAAAGCUCAGCUUAGUCCAUCAAAUAUAUUUCUGGGUAAAGAGUUGGUGGAGUCUCCACAUUUAUGAAAGGGGGUGAAAAUGAUUUACCAUUGAAGAUUGAAGCUCUCGUAGAUGGCUCUAAUGACGCAUGUGUGAAAGGUGAAGGAGUUGAGUACAAUACCAAUCAACUGGU